rnacentral:misc_RNA from 1 species
UACAGGGGGUGCAAGCGUUAUUCGGAAUUAUUGGGCGUAAAGAGCGUGUAGGCGGCUCGUUAAGUUUGGUGUGAAAUCCCCGGGCUCAAUCCGGGAAGUGCAUUGAAUACUGGCGAGCUCGAGUGCAGGAGAGGAUGGCGGAAUUCCUGGUGUAGAGGUGAAAUUCGUAGAUAUCAGGAGGAACAACAGAGGCGAAGGCGGCCAUCUGGACUGUUACUGACGCUAAGGCGCGAAAGCGUGGGGAGCAAACAGG